ACGAACGCUGGCGGCGUGCUUAACACAUGCAAGUCGAACGGUGAAGCGCCUUCCUUUUUGGUGGGUGUGGGUGAGUGGCGAACGGGUGAGUAACACGUGAGUAACCUGCCCCCUUCUUCUGGAUAACCGCAUGAAAGUGUGGCUAAUACGGGAUAUUCUGGGUCUGUCGCAUGAUGGGUCUGGGAAAGAUAUUGUUUCGGUGGGGGAUGGGCUCGCGGCCUAUCAGCUUGUUGGUGGGGUGAUGGCCUACCAAGGCGGUGACGGGUAGCCGGCCUGAGAGGGUGGACGGUCACACUGGGACUGAGACACGGCCCAGACUCCUACGGGAGGCAGCAGUGGGGAAUAUUGCACAAUGGGCGCAAGCCUGAUGCAGCGACGCCGCGUGAGGGAUGGAGGCCUUCGGGUUGUGAACCUCUUUCGCCAGUGAAGCAGGCCUGCCUCGUUUGUGGGUGGGUUGACGGUAGCUGGAUAAGAAGCGCCGGCUAACUACGUG
rnacentral:rRNA from 1 species